ACUAAAUCCUAAACCUAACUCUUGCAGAUCAGUAGGUAUUUGCAUCCUACCUCUUUUUUGCUUUCAACGUUCCCAUAUAAACAAUUCCUGCUUGCUGAGUCGUUCUUUUACUCUGAGCUGCCUCCCAGCCGCCCGGAAGGAAGGAGAGCACCAGAAAGAGAAAGGGAACAAGAGUGUCAACAAAGGAAGAAGGAGGAGAGGCUUAAUUGAGAUAAUUUUAGCUGUUCGGAACAGCACAGGCCGUCUGCAGAAACCAUUUGGAGAGGAAAGAGAAGGGAAUGGGAAUAACCUUAGCACAGGGCUCCGGAUAUGCCAAAUAAGGAGAAAAUGGGGGAAAGGAGGAGGAAAAGAGGACCAGUUUUUAAAGUGCAGGCCCAGCUGACAUCCACUUUGGCCAAGGUGAAUAAACACCGUUGUCGUUUGCCUUCAACCUGUCCACGUCUUAUUCGGUCCUUUGGAGUUUGGCAUGCCGGGGCCAUGAACCCACGGUUUUUGCAGAGCUGAAAUCACUUGACAGAGACAUGGCAAUUAAGUCCUAAAAAAACUGAAGAGUGUGGGAAAAAUGAAUUUGCCUGCGUUCAGAGAGAAGAAAAUCUGUCCUUGUCUCUCUCCCAUGUACAUAAACACAACCCACGCUGUCUACCCAUUUCUCACUUUUCUUCUCCAAGCGUAAUGGUACAAGUUCUUCCCUCUUUGCCUUCCUCUCUACUUUAAUGAAGCUUUGCAUCUGAGAAUGGAUCUACAUUGCUAUAUAAUGCAGAUUGAAACUGAAAUCAGGCCCCAUCACCCAUAACCCAGUUUAGCUAACUUCAGCCGGCAACCUUUGGCCUGAAUCUACCAGUUGUAUAAAACGCGUACACACAUAUCAGGGCAAAUCCCAUAAUUCCUCUAGGCAGUACACAUAAUUCCCUCACAAAAACUCAAUGUACCUAACAAUGGAUUCAGACCGAAAGAUCAUUGAAGUUAUCCAGUGCUCUGCUAGGCCCUUUUCCUGGGAACUCAUUCAAAACAUGCCAACAUCCUCUGCUACCCAUUGUUUAGCCAGUCAAGAUCCAUUGUACAACUCCAGGUAGACAGGAAUGAAGCCAUUAGCACCAAUUAACUUGAACAACAACUAGAAAAAUUUAUUUAUAUACUGGAAAGGACUCAGAGUGGUUUCCAACAUAAGUAAGCAUUCAAUACCACAUAGAAAACAUGCAACACCACUGUAAUAAAAACAUAAACAUAAUACAAGGGUUAUCCAGAAAGUAGAUUAUGUUUUGGAAUUAAAAAUGAACAAAGUAUAGGAGAAAACAUUUACCAUAUGCAGUUGAAAACCACACCCAAAUACCACUUCUCAAAAUAGUCCCCACUGAAAUCUAGGCACUUAUCAUAGCGAUGAAUGAGCUUGGCAACUCCUUCCCCACAAAACUCUGCCGCUUGCAUCCUCAACCAGCCGGUCACCCCUACCCGCAGCUACCCAUCGUCGCUAAAACGCUUAUCAUAGCGACCGUUUUUUGGGGCAGGAAAGGUGUGCUUCUUGCAAAACCUUAGAAGAGCGAUCCAGGACGAGCGUGGGGGAAAGUUGAGCGCAUGCACAUGCGCAGCUGUGGGAACAGAUGCCCGCCUGGUUGAGC
rnacentral:lncRNA from 11 species